UCCACUUCUCCUUGUCAUUGUCGUCCUCUUGGCUCUUUGGCUAUUCCUCCUCUUCAUAAACACUUUCAAGUUCAUGCAUCUCUUCCGUUCACCGUCGGCUUUCUUCAGAGCGUCUUUUGGCAGCGGUCAUGCUAGCUGACGGUGGCCCUGGAAAGUGGCCCGGAAACAUCCGCUUUAACAUUCAUUACAAGUCUGCUGCAAAACUAUUGUUGGACUGUGGAACAUAAAAGGGCUGGUAUGGCCUCAACCGAAA